UAAAGAGCAAAAACUUGGAAUCUAGAAUUUUCUAUGUGAAGGCGUAAUUAAAAUGUGAAGGCAUAAUAAAAUAUCCUCAGAUAUAUAAGACCUGGAAAGUUUUGCUACAAUAGAAUUUUUCUUCAAUUUUCAAUUCUUACACCAAAGGCCGACACAAGCCUGAAAUAGAGGGAUCUCUGAAAUAACAUUAUGACCUGAUAGAAGUUUUCAGAGGAGGAGCUAUACCAGAUCCAAGCAAUUACAUUGGAUUAUAUCAACCAACAGUUCUGGAAAUACAGACUGCUAGAAAGUCAACAACACAGCAGGUCAACCAAUCUGGUGGUAUUAUGAAGAACACAUUUAAUUGGGAUAAAAGGCAGAGACGAGUGACUGCAACAGUACUAGCAAGAGAUUAUGAAGUUCUGAAUGAAGAUGGUGGUAACAGAGAUGACACAUAGAAGACACAAUUUUAAGAAAUAUUUAGACCCAAGUCUAACAUGUACUAAUGCUAUUCACUCCUAGGUUCUAUGAUGUGUCCCACUUCUUUGUGCUUCUGUUUCUAACAGGAUCUUAGAGGGUUUAUUACUGUCAUAGUUUCUGUUGAAAUACCAACAGAUGACAGAAUGCUCAACCGAGGAAAGCCAUUCUCCCUUCUAUAUGCAGGUUGACAAAAGAAUGUAUUUAAGAUAUUUUUACAUGAUCCUUUGAGGCUUCAACCAGAUCAAGGAUAUUAAAAAAGAGAGA